rnacentral:rRNA from 1 species
GCGGCCCCUUGACAAAGACUGACGCUCAGGUGCGAAAGCGUGGGAGCAAACAGGAUUAGAUACCUGGUAGUCACGCUGUAAACGAUGUCGAUUUGGAGGUUGUUCCCUUGAGGAGUGGCUUCCGGAGCUAACGCGUUAAAUCGACCGCUGGGGAGUACGGCCGCAAGGUUAAAACUCAAAUGAAUUGACGGGGGCCCGCACAAGCGGUGGAGCAUGUGGUUUAAUUCGAUGCAACGCGAAGAACCUUACCUACUCUUGACAUCCAGAGAAUUUAGCAGAGAUGCUUUAGUGCCUUCGGGAACUCUGAGACAGGUGCUGCAUGGCUGUCGUCAGCUCGUGUUGUGAAAUGUUGGGUUAAGUCCCGCAACGAGCGCAACCCUUAUCCUUUGUUGCCAGCACAUUAUGGUGGGAACUCAAAGGAGACUGCCGGUGAUAAACCGGAGGAAGGUGGGGAUGACGUCAAGUCAUCAUGGCCCUUACGAGUAGGGCUACACACGUGCUACAAUGGCGUAUACAAAGAGAAGCGACCUCGCGAGAGCAAGCGGAACUCAUAAAGUACGUCGUAGUCCGGAUUGGAGUCUGCAACUCGACUCCAUGAAGUCGGAAUCGCUAGUAAUCGUAGAUCAGAAUGCUACGGUGAAUACGUUCCCGGGCCUUGUACACACCGCCCGUCACACCAUGGGAGUGGGUUGCAAAAGAAGUAGGUAGCUUAACCUUCGGGAGGGCGCUUACCACUUUGUGAUUCAUGACUGGGGUGAAGUCGUAACAAGGUAACCA